AGUGAACGCUGGCGGUAGGCCUAACACAUGCAAGUCGAACGGCAGCACAGUAAGAGCUUGCUCUUACGGGUGGCGAGUGGCGGACGGGUGAGGAAUACAUCGGAAUCUACUUUUUCGUGGGGGAUAACGUAGGGAAACUUACGCUAAUACCGCAUACGACCUACGGGUGAAAGCAGGGGAUCUUCGGACCUUGCGCGAUUGAAUGAGCCGAUGUCGGAUUAGCUAGUUGGCGGGGUAAAGGCCCACCAAGGCGACGAUCCGUAGCUGGUCUGAGAGGAUGAUCAGCCACACUGGAACUGAGACACGGUCCAGACUCCUACGGGAGGCAGCAGUGGGGAAUAUGGGACAAUGGGCGCAAGCGUGAUCCAGCCAUACCGCGUGGGUGAAGAAGGCCUUCGGGUUGUAAAGCCCUUUUGUUGGGAAAGAAAAGCAGCAGGUUAAUACCCCGCUGUUCUGACGGUACCCAAAGAAUAAGCACCGGCUAACUUCGU
rnacentral:rRNA from 1 species